UCUUGAAUGAACGUGGAUAAUGGAAAGAGACCAGUUAAUCCAGCCUCCAUUUACUUUUCCAAAACCAAUAGUCAGCGCAGACGAUGUAGAGAUUUGAAAAUAAAUCCACUAAAUUCUUUUAAAUGAAGCUUGUAGCUUUUAUUUAAGCCUGAGAAUGUAAUGUGAGAUGUAAUCAUUUCCUACUUCAAGCCAUCGGACAGUCAGCAUGGAGGAGAGUGAAAGAAGAUACAGCUUUUUCUUCAGUAGAUCGUGAAUCAUAAACGGCGUAUAAAAAUCUUUAACAAACAAAACACCCGAAACAACUGAACGUCAGGCUAUUCAUUCUUCAAUAAAUACCAGUAUGUCAGACUGUGGUCAUAUUCAUGGUUAUAUUCAUGUCAUCUAUCUUCAGGCAAGAUUUUAGACGCUGAGGAGGGUAUGUCUGUAUCAUCAGCAGCUUCCCCAGCACCAGGUCCACCCACAUAUCUAUACCGCUCUAUCUCUGCCUUGUAUGCUGCCAAGAGUAGGAUAUCCCUUCCCAGCCUCCCCUUAAACAUUUCGUUUGUUUAACCUGAGUAACAUCUCUUGCCUGCCGUUGCAGGCGCUUUGCAGUCGAUAUGUGGAGCAUACUGAUAAAACCAAUCAGUGAGAAGUGAGAAGUGAGGGGGAAAUGCUUAUAAACAGUGUGUGCAGAUGCUGUAUGCCAGUGUUGAGAACUCAUUUCCAUGGAUCUGAACAGAGCUGAUCUUGACAGAACAUCACUACAGGGCACAGAUGACCACUGCGUAUCCAUCUUGUCUAAAUGAAAUGUGAACAGUGUCAUAUGAGAUGGACCUCACCCUGGAUUGGCUUAUUCAGAUCACAUAGAAGGUCCAAGCAGAUACAUUUCUUAAGCUGUAUCACAACCCGUUUGAAUUCUUCA